UUAUUCCUCGGCUUGGCUGUGUGAAUCGGUCACUGGUGGAAAAAAGGGGAGAUCACCAUCUCCCUUUUUUUCUGGGAUCUCUGUGUAAAAGUGGCUAAAUACGAGCAAAAGGGCCA